AGUGAACGCUGGCGGUAGGCCUAACACAUGCAAGUCGAACGGCAGCACAGUAAGAGCUCGCUCUUACGGGUGGCGAGUGGCGGACGGGUGAGGAAUACAUCGGAAUCUACUUUUUCGUGGGGGAUAACGUAGGGAAACUUACGCUAAUACCGCAUACGACCUACGGGUGAAAGCAGGGGAUCUUCGGACCUUGCGCGAUUGAAUGAGCCGAUGUCGGAUUAGCUAGUUGGCGGGGUAAGGGCCCACCAAGGCGACGAUCCGUAGCUGGUCUGAGAGGAUGAUCAGCCACACUGGAACUGAGACACGGUCCAGACUCCUACGGGAGGCAGCAGUGGGGAAUAUUGGACAAUGGGCGCAAGCCUGAUCCAGCCAUACCGCGUGGGUGAAGAAGGCCUUCGGGUUGUAAAGCCCUUUUGUUGGGAAAGAAAAGCAGCAGAUUAAUACCCCGCUGUUCUGACGGUACCCAAAGAAUAAGCACCGGCUAACUUCGUG
rnacentral:rRNA from 1 species